ensembl:lncRNA
GAAGAUAAAACACCAGUGGAGAGAACAGAUACCACACAUGAAGAAAGACAUUCAGAAUAUAAUGAUGUAAGUUCAGAACACCUUGCAACAAAAGGUACGAAUGAAUUUGUUGCAUCAACUCCUUCAAGAGCACAUGAACAUACUGCCAUGACUAAACAUGAGAUAGAAAUGACAACAGAACUUCUUGAAACAGAAUGUACAAUAGAAAUUGAGAUACUGAUACCAGAAGAUAAAACAACACCAAGCCAAGAAACAGAAGGAUCACAGUCUACAGAUGAAGAUGGUUGCUUUGGAUUAAUUCAUCGCACCGGCUCUGGGUUGAAAAGAUGCCAGGAGAAGAAGAUGAAAAUGAAUGAUUUAAGGUCAGAACAUCUUGCAACUGAAGGUAUAAAUACAUUAAUUACAGCAACU